rnacentral:rRNA from 1 species
GACAGAGGGGGCAAGCGUUGCUCGGAAUCACUGGGCGUAAAGGGCGCGUAGGCGGGAUGGCAAGUCGGUCGUGAAAUCCUUCGGCUCAACCGAAGAACGUCGGCCGAUACUGCCGUUCUUGAGGGAUGCAGAGGAGAUUGGAAUUCCCGGUGUAGCGGUGAAAUGUGUAGAGAUCGGGAGGAACACCGGUGGCGAAGGCGGGUCUCUGGGCCGAUACUGACGCUGAGGAGCGAAAGCAUGGGUAGCGAACAGG